UACGGAGGGUGCGAGCGUUGUCCGGAAUCACUGGGCGUAAAGGGCGCGUAGGCGGCCUGUUAAGUGGGGGGUGAAAUCCUGCGGCUUAACCGCAGGGCUGCCUUCUAAACUGUCAGGCUCGAGCACAGUAGAGGCAGGUGGAAUUCCCGGUGUAGCGGUGGAAUGCGUAGAGAUCGGGAAGAACAUCAGUGGCGAAGGCGGCCUGCUGGGCUGUUGCUGACGCUGAGGCGCGACAGCGUGGGGAGCGAACAGG
rnacentral:rRNA from 1 species